rnacentral:lncRNA from 1 species
UAAAGAGAGACUGGAGAGAUGAGAGAAAUGAAAACAGCAACAAAGAUCAUAAAAGAGAGAAGGAAAAGUUACUUUUAAAAGGAGCCCGGAAAACGCAGGAAUCAAAGUUCCCCGGAUAUGCAACUCACACGCAACAAACAGACUCCACCCUCUGUGCUGCUUCAGGGAGAGGUAUGGAACAGGCAUGAGCAUUCUCAUUUGUAGACGACGAGAAGAGGACCUGGAGUUUAAGCCACUUUCAAGACCACGCUACUCCUUAGGGGCAGAACCAGGAAUUCAAGCCAGAUCAUCUCAUUCCCAGAGACCUGCAUGAAAAGAAGUUCUUCCGGUUGAAGGGAAAUGCUACCAGACGUAAAGUCAAAUCUACGUAAAGAAAUGACGUACACCAAAAAUGAUGAUCCGUGGAUUCAAACCAGGCAAGACAAGUAGACUCUGUCCAGAGACUAAGAGCAGUUUUCAAAUCCCAGAGGAUGAACAGCAAGGCAAGAACCCAUAAAGACCUCCUUGGAGCUGAAGGAUGAACACGGC